CAACUUUUAGAGAAAUUGCGGGCAACUUUAUGGGAAAUCUUGAGCAACUUGUGGAAAGCCCUAACUUUGGUGAUUCGCUGUUGUCGGAAGUUUUUUUGGUUGUUAAAUUUAUGUGUGUCUACAUCAACGUGCAACACCCUGCGAAGAACAAAAAAAACAACUCUGGAGUAUUUCUUGCAAAAUGAUAAAACAUGUUUUUGAGUGUGUUCAGUUUUAUGUGUUUCCACCUUCCUCUGAUAUGAAUCCAUGCCAUUCCAUAAUUUUUGGUCGGGAUCACUUGCGGUCCAAUAUGGGGAUCAUUUCCGGUCCGAGACCAUUUUCCGGGAUCUUUUGCGGCCCGUACAUCUAAUCCAUAUCACUCAACCUCUUCGAACAAAACAAAAGAGACUAUUUUUAGUUCCCUGUUAAGCUCGCAUAUCACGUGUUAUUGUGUAACUCACGCGGCGUCGUGAAAAUGUAAACACUGUAAACGCGGCAUUAUUCGACAGCACCUCGGUGCGUGCGUGCAUUUGUUUCGUGUAGAAACCGGCCUUUGCUGUGUGCAACUGGGUUUUGUGAACUUCUCUAGUGAUGAUGCUUCAUUUAGCCAAGAACGUGCGCAGCUCUCGACAUACCUGGGUACCAGUCCUCCAGCGAUGUUUCUCGGCAGUGGCACUUAGUGAUCACAAACAAAUACGUACAAUGGAAUGUCAGAAUGGCGAAAAGGUGAAACCGACUUUCUCGUCCCAGGAAAUGCAGCGCCGUCUGCACAUGAUACGACACCACAUGGAGGCAAAUGAAAUUGACGCAUGCGUAUUCACGUCCUAUCACAACGUUCACUAUUUCAG